rnacentral:rRNA from 1 species
UACGAAGGGGGCGAGCGUUGUUCGGAUUUACUGGGCGUAAAGGGCGUGCAGGCGGUUUGUUAAGUGCAGGGUGAAAGCUCCCGGCUCAACUGGGAGAGGUCCUUGCAUACUGGCAAACUCGAGGGAGGCAGAGGAAAGUGGAAUUCCCGGUGUAGUGGUGAUAUGCGUAGAUAUCGGGGAGGAACACCUGUGGCGAAGGCGGCUUUCUGGGCCUUACCUGACGCUG